UGUUAUAUAUACAAUAAUAAUAAAGGACGUUACUGUAUACAUUUUUACAAACCAAGGACGUUAUAUAGACCUCCUUGACUCAAGUUAGAGAAGGGGUGCGUAUUAUACACAAGGUUUAGGUCUUUCAGAGGUACAACCUCCUAAAAAUCCCGUGCGUAUACACGUUUGCCUUAUGUUAUAUAUACAAUAAUAAUAAAGGACGUUACCGUAUACAGUUUUACAAACCAAGGACGU